CACACCCCCUUAAAGGGCCAGCCCCUCUACAGGCCCCUCUCCCCUACUCCGCCCCCGGGCAGGGGUAGGGGAGGGUCUAUUCGGCAGGGGGUGGCCUAGCUGUCCGUACUCCCCAAACGCAACCUUCCAGUCCCAAACCCAGGCGUUCUAAGCGCUCAGGACGACGAUUUGCGCUCACGCCAGGACCCUAGUCUUCAUUGGACCCUUCCUCAUUCUGUCCUCAUUGAGGCCAUCUGAGAAUAGGGGCUAUCUGAGAAUGCAGGGGAGUGGACAUCGUGUGCAGACAGGGAGUCUGAUUGUGAGUGCCACGGGGCUGAGGCCUGCGCCGACCUGGUCUGCUGGUGCUACCAGGCUUGAACAGUCUUCAAAUCCACUGCUAUUAGGCAAAUUACCUGGCUCCCGCUGAACUCCAGCACCUAGAACUAUGUCACACUCGUAGUAGGCCGCUGCAUUGGUUGAACAAAUGAUUUUGAAAGAAUGAAUGUCUUCCUCUGUGCCUGCAUUUCCUCAGAAGGCUGUAACAAAGAUUAAAUAGGAAAAUUCGUGGAAAGUUCAAUUACU
rnacentral:lncRNA from 1 species